CCGUGCCUGAAAACAACAAAAUGAAUCAAGAGUAUUGAAGGCUUACUUUCAAGAGUAUUGAAGGCUUACUUUAAAGAAUAUUGAAGGCUUAUUUCAUGAUGAACAGGUUAGUGGUAGUUAUAAAACAGGUUAGUGGUAAAUUUUGGUAGGAAAUAUCCUAUAAAUACUACAUGCCCAGCAGUGAAAUCCAACAUUUACAUUGAUGCCAAGAAAGCCAAGGAGAGAAAAAAUCAGCAAACAAGAGGUAAUAAUUCUCCCUUUUUUUUUAUAUAUUUUUAUGGGGUUAGAAUUACAUAAAUAUUUAUUUUUGUUUCUCAUUUGUUUUGGUGGAAGAGGAGGGGUGAAUGGGGGAAUUUCAACAUCAUACCAGACAAUACUCCUACCAUUGACACCUGUGAUCAUAAUAGCAAUAAAACUCAAGCACAAGUUGAUGCCUAUUCUUACAUUCUAAAUUCCUUAUCCCAAAUCAGCAUAGGUGCAUCACAUGUCCUGUUCUAAGUGUGACCAUAGCUGGCAUGAGGGAACUGUGAAGUAUAGGGUAGUGGUUCGUGAGAUGGACAGUACAUGUGAUGCACCUUUGCUGAUUUGGGAUAAGGAAUGCAAUGAUUUGGUUGGUGUUUUAGCUUCAUCUCUUAGAGAGAAGUAUGCUGAGGAUUUCAAUGAAGAAAUAAAGAGCAGAUGAACAUUCUGCUCUCCGAAUUUGUGGUGUUAGGGGUGUGUAAGGAUGCAGAUGUUGUUUCAAAAUAUUGUGGGAAUAUGGGACCUGAAGUGCAUAUCACAGAUCAAAACCAGGAGGAUUGGUUUGGCUGACUUUGAAAUGGUUGGGUUUGAUGAGGUGGUUUAUCUGGAAGUGUUGGGAGCACACUAAAGAGGUCAGUAAUGGAUGAGUUCAAUCAGUCUGAAGAUCCUAAAAGAAUUAAGACUUCAGUGAUCAAGUUAGAAAAAAUAUGAUGCUAGCUCUAAUUCUAUGUUAUCUUACUCUAAUAUAACUAGACUUUGUUCUAUGUACAAAGUAUGUAUUCUGUUUUGGGACUUUAUGGACAAUAUAUAUGAAUAUUGUCUUUUGCUA